GCAUAAGCCAGCUUGACUGCGAGCGUGACGGCGCGAGCAGGUGCGAAAGCAGGUCAUAGUGAUCCGGUGGUUCUGAAUGGAAGGGCCAUCGCUCAACGGAUAAAAGGUACUCCGGGGAUAACAGGCUGAUACCGCCCAAGAGUUCAUAUCGACGGCGGUGUUUGGCACCUCGAUGUCGGCUCAUCACAUCCUGGGGCUGAAGUAGGUCCCAAGGGUAUGGCUGUUCGCCAUUUAAAGUGGUACGCGAGCUGGGUUUAGAACGUCGUGAGACAGUUCGGUCCCUAUCUGCCGUGGGCGCUGGAGAACUGAGGGGGGCUGCUCCUAGUACGAGAGGACCGGAGUGGACGCAUCACUGGUGUUCGGGUUGUCAUGCCAAUGGCACUGCCCGGUAGCUAAAUGCGGAAGAGAUAAGUGCUGAAAGCAUCUAAGCACGAAACUUGCC
rnacentral:rRNA from 1 species